AGCAGUAGCCGCGGUAAUACGUAGGUGGCAAGCGUUGUCCGGAUUUAUUGGGCGUAAAGCGAGCGCAGGCGGUCAAUUAAGUCUGAUGUGAAAGCCCCCGGCUCAACCGGGGAGGGUCAUUGGAAACUGGUUGACUUGAGUGCAGAAGAGGAGAGUGGAAUUCCAUGUGUAGCGGUGAAAUGCGUAGAUAUAUGGAGGAACACCAGUGGCGAAGGCGACUCUUUGGUCUGUAACUGACGCUGAGGCUCGAAAGCGUGGGUAGCAAACAGGAUUAGAUACCCGCGUAGUCCCUGUCUCUUAUAC
rnacentral:rRNA from 1 species